UCCCUGGUGGCUUAGUAGGUGAAGAGUCUGCCUGCAAUGCAGGAGACCUGGGUUUGAUCCCUGGGUUGGGAA
rnacentral:tRNA from 1 species